rnacentral:rRNA from 1 species
AAGUCUGACCUGCCCACUGAAAUAUUUAAAUGGCCGCAGUAUUCUAACUGUGCAAAGGUAGCAUAAUCAUUAGUCUUUUAAUUGAAGGCUGGUAUGAACGGUUGGACGAGGUAUAAGCUGUUUCAUUUAAAUUUAUAGUAGAAUUUUAUAUUUUAGUUAAAAAGCUAAAAUUUUAUUAAAAGACGAGAAGACCCUAUAAAUCUUUAUAUUUUAUUUUAUUUAAGUUUUUUGGAUUUAGUUUAUUUUUAUAUUAUAAAAUAUUUUGUUGGGGUGAUGGUAAAAUUUAAUGAACUUUUAAUUAUUUAAAAUCAUUAAUUUAUGAGUUAUUGAUCCAGUAUUAUUGAUUAUAAGAUUAAGUUACUUUAGGGAUAACAGCGUAAUUUUUUUGGAGAGUUCAUAUCGAUAAAAAAGUUUGCGACCUCGAUGUUGGAUUAAGAUAUAAUUUUAGGUGUAGCCGCUUAAAU